rnacentral:rRNA from 1 species
GACGAACGCUGGCGGCGUGCCUAAUACAUGCAAGUCGAGCGAAGUUUUUCUGGUGCUUGCACUAGAAAAACUUAGCGGCGAACGGGUGAGUAACACGUAAAAAACCUGCCUCAUAGACUGGGACAACUAUUGGAAACGAUAGCUAAUACCGGAUAACAGUAUUUCUCGCAUGAGAGAUAUUUAAAAGUUGGUUAUGCUAACACUAUGAGAUGGCUUUGCGGUGCAUUAGCUAGUUGGUGGGGUAAAGGCCCACCAAGGCGACGAUGCAUAGCCGACCUGAGAGGGUGAUCGGCCACACUGGGACUGAGACACGGCCCAGACUCCUACGGGAGGCAGCAGUAGGGAAUCUUCCGCAAUGGGCGAAAGCCUGACGGAGCAACGCCGCGUGAGUGAAGAAGGAUUUCGGUUCGUAAAGCUCUGUUGUUAGGGAAGAAUGGAUAUGUAGUAACUAUACAUGUAAGAGACGGUACCUAACCAGAAAGCCACGGCUAACUACGUG